UUGUAUAUGUCCAUGCAUUUAUUCAUAGUAAAUCGUUUCUUUCAUUAGAUUUCUUGUUUCCGGUGACUUGCAGCGCCACGUGUGCAGAGCAUAUCGGAUCAGCAAACAACAAUUCGGCGUGAUAAUCAUGCAAUGAAUUUCCCAAAUUGAACAUAGACAACAUGUUACAGUGGAAUGGAACUUUUCGAACUGCGUGGGAGCCGUUGCCGGAAAGCAUUUGGCAAUAAAGCGGGAGCUGUUUUUGGCUUCCACUGUGCUAAGGCGAUCUGCGCUAUCUGCGACGCCCAGUAUGUAUAUGUAUGUUAACCUAUGUACAUAUGUAGAUAGAGGUUGCCACCUAUGGAAGUGAGGGCCUUCUUACGCUGUUAGCUUGGCAUUCUUUGCGCCGAUGGGUGGCUGUGCAGCGUACCCUAUUUACCCGACCCAAAAAGUCUCAAACAAGUAUUGCUGCUUGUUUUCGGCCACACAAUUUCUUAAUGUGCACAAGUCCUAAUACGUACAUAUACCAUAAAUCGAGAUUCAUUAAUUCAACCUCACACUUUAUAGCCCGAUCCCCGCCCCAGUUGCAUCAAUCGACCUCAGCACUAUUGACAGGCCUUUAGAAACAACUUAAAAAAUCGAAGUAAUUAAAUAAAUUGAAAAUGCAUACAUAUUU